GUACCCGGCACACAGAAAGAAUCGGACUAAACAAACUGGGACUCACCCAAGUACCCAGACUUCUGACCAUCUAGAGAUCAAGGCGUGAUGUUUACACCUUCUCCUCAAACUGAAAAGAUUCCAUCUUCAUCUCAACAGCCACCUCCUUGCCAAAAUAAGCCAGAAAAGGUUAUGAGAGUGCCUGCAUUCCAGCAGGAGUGGAGCGGGACUGAGAAGAAAAACAGAGAAAAAGGAAAUAUCCUAAAAUGUCGAUUUGUUUAAACUUCUUCACAAACUGAACAACACAAGGAAACCAACAGAGACAAGCUUGUAAUGAAGUAAUCACCCAACGCUGCUAAUAUUCCAGUAACAUGAAAUGAUUCUGCACAUUUCAUGGGGCAGAUAUGAAUAGGGUCAUUAAAAUAUGGCCAAGGAAGGGA